rnacentral:rRNA from 1 species
CGUACCUUUUGUAUAAUGGGUCAGCGACUUAUAUUCUGUAGCAAGGUUAACCGAAUAGGGGAGCCGAAGGGAAACCGAGUCUUAACUGGGCGUUAAGUUGCAGGGUAUAGACCCGAAACCCGGUGAUCUAGCCAUGGGCAGGUUGAAGGUUGGGUAACACUAACUGGAGGACCGAACCGACUAAUGUUGAAAAAUUAGCGGAUGACUUGUGGCUGGGGGUGAAAGGCCAAUCAAACCGGGAGAUAGCUGGUUCUCCCCGAAAGCUAUUUAGGUAGCGCCUCGUGAAUUCAUCUCCGGGGGUAGAGCACUGUUUCGGCAAGGGGGUCAUCCCGACUUACCAACCCGAUGCAAACUGCGAAUACCGGAGAAUGUUAUCACGGGAGACACACGGCGGGUGCUAACGUCCGUCGUGAAGAGGGAAACAACCCAGACCGCCAGCUAAGGUCCCAAAGUCAUGGUUAAGUGGGAAACGAUGUGGGAAGGCCCAGACAGCCAGGAUGUUGGCUUAGAAGCAGCCAUCAUUUAAAGAAAGCGUAAUAGCUCACUGGUCGAGUCGGCCUGCGCGGAAGAUGUAACGGGGCUAAACCAUGCACCGAAGCUGCGGCAGCGACACUAUGUGUUGUUGGGUAGGGGAGCGUUCUGUAAGCCUGUGAAGGUGUACUGUGAGGUAUGCUGGAGGUAUCAGAAGUGCGAAUGCUGACAUAAGUAACGAUAAAGCGGGUGAAAAGCCCGCUCGCCGGAAGACCAAGGGUUCCUGUCCAACGUUAAUCGGGGCAGGGUGAGUCGACCCCUAAGGCGAGGCCGAAAGGCGUAGUCGAUGGGAAACAGGUUAAUAUUCCUGUACUUGGUGUUACUGCGAAGGGGGGACGGAGAAGGCUAUGUUGGCCGGGCGACGGUUGUCCCGGUUUAAGCGUGUAGGCUGGUUUUCCAGGCAAAUCCGGAAAAUCAAGGCUGAGGCGUGAUGACGAGGCACUACGGUGCUGAAGCGACAAAUGCCCUGCUUCCAGGAAAAGCCUCUAAGCAUCAGGUAACAUCAAAUCGUACCCCAAACCGACACAGGUGGUCAGGUAGAGAAUACCAAGGCGCUUGAGAGAACUCGGGUGAAGGAACUAGGCAAAAUGGUGCCGUAACUUCGGGAGAAGGCACGCUGAUAUGUAGGUGAAGCGACUUGCUCGUGGAGCUGAAAUCAGUCGAAGAUACCAGCUGGCUGCAACUGUUUAUUAAAAACACAGCACUGUGCAAACACGAAAGUGGACGUAUACGGUGUGACGCCUGCCCGGUGCCGGAAGGUUAAUUGAUGGGGUUAGCGGUAACGCGAAGCUCUUGAUCGAAGCCCCGGUAAACGGCGGCCGUAACUAUAACGGUCCUAAGGUAGCGAAAUUCCUUGUCGGGUAAGUUCCGACCUGCACGAAUGGCGUAAUGAUGGCCAGGCUGUCUCCACCCGAGACUCAGUGAAAUUGAACUCGCUGUGAAGAUGCAGUGUACCCGCGGCAAGACGGAAAGACCCCGUGAACCUUUACUAUAGCUUGACACUGAACAUUGAGCCUUGAUGUGUAGGAUAGGUGGGAGGCUUUGAAGUGUGGACGCCAGUCUGCAUGGAGCCGACCUUGAAAUACCACCCUUUAAUGUUUGAUGUUCUAACGUGGGCCCCUUACCGGGGUUGCGGACAGUGUCUGGUGGGUAGUUUGACUGGGGCGGUCUCCUCCUAAAGAGUAACGGAGGAGCACGAAGGUUGGCUAAUCCUGGUCGGACAUCAGGAGGUUAGUGCAAUGGCAUAAGCCAGCUUGACUGCGAGCGUGACGGCGCGAGCAGGUGCGAAAGCAGGUCAUAGUGAUCCGGUGGUUCUGAAUGGAAGGGCCAUCGCUCAACGGAUAAAAGGUACUCCGGGGAUAACAGGCUGAUACCGCCCAAGAGUUCAUAUCGACGGCGGUGUUUGGCACCUCGAUGUCGGCUCAUCACAUCCUGGGGCUGAAGUAGGUCCCAAGGGUAUGGCUGUUCGCCAUUUAAAGUGGUACGCGAGCUGGGUUUAGAACGUCGUGAGACAGUUCGGUCCCUAUCUGCCGUGGGCGCUGGAGAACUGAGGGGGGCUGCUCCUAGUACGAGAGGACCGGAGUGGACGCAUCACUGGUGUUCGGGUUGUCAUGCCAAUGGCACUGCCCGGUAGCUAAAUGCGGAAGAGAUAAGUGCUGAAAGCAUCUAAGCACGAAACUUGCCCCGAGAUGAGUUCUCCCUGACUCCUUGAGAGUCCUGAAGGAACGUUGAAGACGACGACGUUGAUAGGCCGGGUGUGUAAGCGCAGCGAUGCGUUGAGCUAACCGGUACUAAUGAACCGUGAGGCUUAACCUU